GAAGGGGGCUAGCGUUGCUCGGAAUGACUGGGCGUAAAGGGCGCGUAGGCGGCGCACCAAGUCAGGCGUGAAAGCCCUGGGCUCAACCCGGGAAUUGCGCUUGAGACUGGUGUGCUCGAGUACGGGAGAGGAUGGUGGAAUUCCCAGUGUAGAGGUGAAAUUCGUAGAUAUUGGGAAGAACACCGGUGGCGAAGGCGGCCAUCUGGACCGUAACUGACGCUGAGGCGCGAAAGCGUGGGGAGCAAACAGG
rnacentral:rRNA from 1 species